rnacentral:rRNA from 1 species
AUUGAACGCUGGCGGCAUGCCUUACACAUGCAAGUCGAACGGCAGCACGGAGAGCUUGCUCUCUGAUGGCGAGUGGCGAACGGGUGAGUAAAGCAUCGGAACGUACCGUGUAGUGGGGGAUAACGUAGCGAAAGUUACGCUAAUACCGCAUACGCACUGAGGUGGAAAGCAGGGGAUCGUAAGACCUUGCGCUAUACGAGCGGCCGAUGUAAGAUUAGCUAGUUGUUAGGGUAAAGGCCUACCAAGGGCACGAUCUGCAGCGGGUCUGAGAGGAUGAUCCGCCGCACUGGGACUGAGACACGGCCCAGACUCCUACGGGAGGCAGCAGUGGGGAAUUUGGGACAAUGGGGGCAACCCUGAUCCAGCCAUGCCGCGUGAGUGAAGAAGGCCUUCGGGUUGUAAAGCUCUUUCGGCCGGGAAGAAAUCGCACAGGCUAAUACCCUGUGUGGAUGACGGUACCGGCAUAAGAAACACCGGCUAACUACGUGCCAGCCGCCGCAGUAA